AUAUAGUGUGAAUAAUAAAUUAAAUUUUUAUUAUUCUUUAUUUGAACAUUUAUAAUGAACAGAACAAAAUUACAAAAUAUUUUCUUAAGGCCGCUUAAACAAGUCAGAAUUAAUAUCAACAAUGCCAACUGUUUUAAGAUGCUAUCAAAGAUAGCAUUUCAUACUGUAUGUAAUAGUUACAGUACAUCUUGCACAAAUAUCACACAAGAUUUAAACUUUGACUAUCAACAGCUAAAUAAUAUAAUAUUAGAGCGACAUAGUUCAACACAGCAAAAUAACUUUUCCCAUAUGUUUUAUCCUCGGUUUGUUUCUCCUGUAAUUUUAUGUAAUAGAAAAAGGUGGCUGGAAUAUAAAACUUAUCAUGCUAAUCAAAGCUAUAGUGGCAUCAGGCAUUUUUCAAGCACUAACAUUGAUGUUAUUUCUGAAGUCAAAGCUCCAAUGCAGUUCAGUGGAAUUUUCAAAACAAUGUCAGAGAGUACACCUAUUAAAAUUGCACAAGAUUUCUUAUUAUGGAUGCACGACUAUACAGGCUUGCCAUGGUGGUUAGUUAUUGUACUUACCACUGUUGUUAUGAGGGCAACGGUAACUUUACCAUUAUCUUUUUAUCAGCAAUAUAUAAUUGCAAAAUUGGAGAACCUUAAACUGGAGAUGGAUGAAAUAGUUAAAGAGAUGAAGAAGGAAACAGAUUAUGGAGUAUAUAAGUAUAAAUGGUCAAAAGAAUAUGCUACACGUUUGUACACUCAUUCUGUGAAGAAACAAUGGAAUAACUUAAUUAUUCGAGAAAAUUGCCAUCCAGCGAAAGCUAGCAUAUUGGUCCUUGCUCAGUUACCUUUAUGGAUAUCAUUAUCGAUGUCUAUCAGAAAUUUAUGUUACAUGUUACCCAAACAAGAUGCCAGUAAGCGCUUAUGCCACUUAUCAGGAGUUUAUAACUGAUGGGUUUCUUUGGGUCACAAACUUGACUGUAGCAGAUCCCUUUCUACUUCCAGUAAUGAUGGGAUUGUUUAAUUUAGCUAUUAUAGAGAUAACUCAUAUGAAUAGGAUAAAAGAAACGACGAAGUUGACGAGAUAUAUGAUUUAUUUCUUCAGAAUUGUUGUCAUUGGUAUGGUUCCUGUUGCCAUGUACGUGCCAUCG
rnacentral:misc_RNA from 1 species